rnacentral:rRNA from 1 species
UACGGAGGGGGCUAGCGUUGUUCGGAAUUACUGGGCGUAAAGCGCACGUAGGCGGCUUUGCAAGUUAGAGGUGAAAGCCCGGGGCUCAACUCCGGAAUUGCCUUUAAAACUGCAUCGCUAGAAUUGUGGAGAGGUAAGUGGAAUUCCGAGUGUAGAGGUGAAAUCCGUUGAUAUUUAGGGGAACACCAAAAGCGAAGGCAGUUCACUGGCGCAUUCUUGACACUGAAACACUAAAGCGUGGGUAGCGAAUGGG